GUCUACAGCCAUGCCACCCUGAACAAGCCCAAUCCCAUCUGAUCUCGGAAGCUAAGCAAGGUUGGGCCUGGUUAGAACUUGAUAGCUAGGUGGGCCUGGAUU
rnacentral:rRNA from 1 species